CGUGUUACAGAACCUCAGCUAUUUUGACAAAAUCUAUUUGCCAAUCGAUUUGAUCAAAGUUGUUCUGAUGAAUGAUUAAUUUGCAAUCGAUUGCCUAAUCGAUUGCGUCAAACUUGGAUUUUUAAGAAAACUAAAUCAAUUGAUGUCCCAAUCGAUUUGUUGCAUCACAGAACUUUAAACCUGAUUUUAAACUUGGUAUCAAUCGAUUUGGUAAUCGAUUGUUCCCAUCACUGAUUGUUUCUGUGACUUGCUAAAUCGAUUGCUCAAUGGAUUGCCCAGUCGAUUGUCUAAUCGAUUGAUUGUAUCCCAGAACUCAGGUUUCACUUAAAAACAUUUAUCCAAUCGAUUCCUCAAUCGAUUGAUGUAAUGAAAACACUUGUUCUGAGUCAGACAAUCGAUUUAUCAAUCGAUUCAUCAAUUGACUUUUUGGUUGAUUGAUUUUCAUUCAUAGGCAAAGACUUAAGUGUGAGACCAUAGUGAUUAGUCUACUAAACUUAUUACUAAGACACUUAAUAACACUAUACAAUUUUUGCGUCUUUCUCAAGUGCAUCCUCCAACUUUGGUUGAUUCAUUGAGUUGCAAGCUAUUGUUCCAAGUGUGUGGUGUCUUCUUGUUUGCCUG
rnacentral:lncRNA from 1 species